rnacentral:tRNA from 1 species
GGGGUUAUAGCUCAGUGGUGGGUUGCUUGCUUAGCAAGUAGCAAGUGCAAGGUUCUGGGUUCGAUACCUAAUUUCA